rnacentral:rRNA from 1 species
AUUGAACGCUGGCGGCAGGCCUAACACAUGCAAGUCGAGCGGAUGAAGGGAGCUUGCUCCUGGAUUCAGCGGCGGACGGGUGAGUAAUGCCUAGGAAUCUGCCUGGUAGUGGGGGAUAACGUCCGGAAACGGGCGCUAAUACCGCAUACGUCCUGAGGGAGAAAGUGGGGGAUCUUCGGACCUCACGCUAUCAGAUGAGCCUAGGUCGGAUUAGCUAGUUGGUGGGGUAAAGGCCUACCAAGGCGACGAUCCGUAACUGGUCUGAGAGGAUGAUCAGUCACACUGGAACGGAGAACCGGUCCAGCCCCCUCGGGGAGGAAGCAGUGGGGAAUUUUGGACAAGGGGCGAAAGCCGGAUCCAGCCAUGCCGCGUGUGUGAAGAAGGUCUUCGGAUUGAAAAGCACUUUAAGUUGGGGGGGGGGGCAUAAAUUUAAUACCUUGCUGUUUUGACUUACCAAAAAAAAUAAGCACCGGCAACCUUCGUC